GACGAACGCUGGCGGCGUGCUUAACACAUGCAAGUCGAACGAUGAAGCCGGAGCUUGCUCUGGUGAAUUAGUGGCGAACGGGUGAGUAACACGUGAGUAACCUGCCCUUGACUCUGGGAUAACUGCGGGAAACUGUAGCUAAUACCGGAUACGACCCUCGGAGGCAUCUCCUGGGGGUGGAAAGAAUUUCGGUCAAGGAUGGACUCGCGGCCCAUCAGCUAGUUGGUGAGGUAAAGGCUCACAAAGGCGACGACGGGUAGCCGGCCGGAGAGGGUGAGCGGCCACACUGGGACUGAGACACGGCCCAGACUCGUACGGGAGGCAGCAGUGGGGAAUAUUGCACAAUGGGCGCAAGCCUGAUGCAGCAACGCCGCGUGAGGGAUGACGGCCUUCGGGUUGUAAACCUCUUUUAGCAGGGAAGAAGCGAAAGUGACGGUACCUGCAGAAAAAGCACCGGCUAACUACGUGCCAGCCGCCGCAGUAA
rnacentral:rRNA from 1 species